rnacentral:rRNA from 1 species
UACAUGGGGUGCAAACGUUGCUCGGAAUUAUUGGGCGUAAAGCGCGCGUAGGCGGUUACUUAAGUCGGAUGUGAAAGCCCUCGGCUUAACUGAGGAAGUGCACCCGAAACUGAGUAGCUGGAGUACGAAAGAGGGUCGCGGAAUUCCCGGUGUAGAGGUGAAAUUCGUAGAUAUCGGGAGGAACACCGGUGGCGAAGGCGGCGACCUGGGUCGGUACUGACGCUGAGACGCGAAAGCGUGGGGAGCGAACAGG